AACUUGUUAAAUUGUGAUUUUUAAGAGUCAACUAUAAUAUUCAACUUAUGUUGUGUCAACAAUGCCAACAUACAAAAGUAAAACAAAUCAAAGGAAAAGCAACGGAAGAUAAGUUUCCUUCAUACUCUAAGUACCAUCAAAAUGUAAUGCCUCAACUUUUAAGUUGUAAUAAAACUUACUUUUGAAGUUUUAUAUAAACAUUAGCAGUGGCACGGUAUAGGUCAAA
rnacentral:lncRNA from 1 species